rnacentral:rRNA from 1 species
GACGAACGCUGGCGGCGUGCUUAACACAUGCAAGUCGAACGGAAAGGCCCUGCUUUUGUGGGGUGCUCGAGUGGCGAACGGGUGAGUAACACGUGAGUAACCUGCCCUUGACUUUGGGAUAACUUCAGGAAACUGGGGCUAAUACCGGAUAGGAGCUCCUGCUGCAUGGUGGGGGUUGGAAAGUUUCGGCGGUUGGGGAUGGACUCGCGGCUUAUCAGCUUGUUGGUGGGGUAGUGGCUUACCAAGGCUUUGACGGGUAGCCAGCCUGAGAGGGUGACCGGCCACAUUGGGACUGAGAUACGGCCCAGACUCCUACGGGAGGCAGCAGUGGGGAAUAUUGCACAAUGGGCGGAAGCCUGAUGCAGCAACGCCGCGUGCGGGAUGACGGCCUUCGAGUUGUAAACCGCUUUCGCCUGUGACGAAGCGUGAGUGACGGUAAUGGGUAAAGAAGCACCGGCUAACUACGUG